rnacentral:rRNA from 1 species
UACGGGGGGGGCAAGCGUUGUUCGGAAUUACUGGGCGUAAAGGGCUCGUAGGCGGCCAACUAAGUCAGACGUGAAAUCCCCCGGCUUAACCGGGGAACUGCGUCUGAUACUGGAUGGCUCGAGUUUGGGAGAGGGAUGCGGAAUUCCAGGUGUAGCGGUGAAAUGCGUAGAUAUCUGGAGGAACACCGGUGGCGAAGGCGGCAUCCUGGACCAACACUGACGCUGAGUGAGCGAAAGCCAGGGGAGCAAACGGG